CCAGAGCACAGAGUGCCUCACUCCUGGUCUCCACCCUGAGCUCCACGCAGGGUGCCUGCGGGUUGGCAGCUGCCGUGGCUCAUGUUCUACUCCAGGUAGAGGUGAUGGCAAGUCCAAACUUCAGCUCACAAUGGCAACCUCAGCGCCACUGCAAAGAUGAUUUAAUUAAAGGACCAUUUGCAGAGGGAGUCCCAGUGACAUGGUCCACUCCACAGGGUGGGUCUGCUUCCAGAGAUGGGGAGUUGAGGGGGAGACAAGCAGACCAUGUCCAGCACAGCCCUCCUUCAAGCGCUCCGAGGAUGUCGUCACCUCCAGUAGUUCAAUGGCAGCCCGAGGAGACACAAGCCACAAGAGGACAGAUGCUCUGCAGCUUGUUCACUGGCCCCAGGACCCGGUUGACAAGAAGGUGCUCAGUAACCUGGGAAUGAUGGAAUCCGUGAGUGGUCCCUGCCCUUCUGUGCUCCAUGCCUUUGGGAGGGAGGCUCUGGGGACACCUGAGUGGUGGCUCUAAGGACACGAGCCCACCAGCAUGGGAUGGGAGGAUGGUUGGGAAAGGGGAUGGCAGUGUUGGAACCGUGAGGGAGAAGAUGGGGAGGGAGUCAUCACAGGGGUUUCUAGCUGCCAGAAACAGAAGCCGAGUCUGGAUGAAAUAAGUAGAAAAAGAAGAUAGCCCUUCAUCAGUGAUGGAUGGGAGGAGCUGUGUGGACUCAGCUCCCUCCACCCCAGCCGGGCUGACUCUCUUCAUUGGCUCUGGGUGCCCACAGCCGUGACUUGCCAGGUCAUUCCCCUUUCGUGGGCCACUCUCACUCCCCUGGCCUACUUCCCCUCUUCCCUACUGGGCUUCCUGGGAUUGCCUCCCACACAAUUACCUGUACUCACAUCCGGUUUCAGCAUCUGCUUCUGAAGGGACCCCACACCUGGGCCAGCUGCCUCCGACAGGCAGACCCAGUCACACGUCCUUUCUUAGUUGGAAAGGAAGUUGGAAAAGCAAGAAUCGGGCUUUUCAGCUUCUGGGGGCGGGGUGGGGGUGGGUAGGUGGUUCUGCUUCCC